AUGUUUAAAGAGGAACGUCCACUGCUGUCCCGUCCUUCUAGCUUGCCCCUGGAAGGGGUGACGCUCUGCCCCUUGGGGAGCGGCAGCACUGUUGACGUGAGGUCAGACCUAUCCGCAGAAGACAGAAGCAUGUCUUUCCACCUGCCUCCAUAUCCCAAUGAGUACUCUGACUCCUCGCAUGGCUACCAGGAGGACUACUGGCGUAAACCAGAAGUUACUGAGGACAGUGGAGGUCGAGGUGCCCUGACCGAAAGGCAUCCCAGCUUUGAGAGCCUGGAGCUGGGCUUCACGGAGCUUCUUCCUCCCAUGUACCCAAGAGCCUCACAACAUCUUUCCUCCUCCCCGUCUCCCUCUCCAUGGCUUGACUCGCCCUAUCUGUCCUCCUCACCUUCUCCCUCUCACUCUUGCUCUCUGAGCCCAUUCCCUGCCAGCAGUCCGAUCUCAACUUCACCCCUUCCUCCUCUCUCUCACUCCCCAUAUCCACACGGUCCUUGUCCCCAAGAGAUGUGUUCCUCACCUCCAUCAAACAUAAGCCACUAUCAGGACCUGUGCCCACCUCCAUACUGCCAAUACGAGAGCUGGGAGCACCAGAUGCGUCCCACUGAAAGAGACACGGGCCCCGGUCUGAAGUUAGAGGGACCCCCGGACUUCACAGGCCCUUCACCGAUGCAGCACAUCACACUAGAGGAAGUGACUGAAUUCAUCGGAGAAGAUAUAAGAUCCUUUCAGAUGGGGUCAAACAUGGACAGUAGACCUGGAUGACAACAUCCUCCCAGUAAUAGUCCAGUGAUAAUCAAUGUAUAGUUAAUAUCAUACCAACAUUUUGUGUAUAAUUUUUAUUUGUAUUAUUUCAUAUUUUGCUAAAUUAUGGCAAUAAUAAUAAAGACUGUGCUACUUAAGUGGUGAAUCUGUGGUAAAACAGAAGGCAGGCGUACAGUUGUAAGUAUGUAAUUGUUACUGGUUCCUGAUUGCAUAUUAGAAUGGAACUAAUGUUUUUAAUUUGUAUGCAAAAUAAAUUAUCGUGAUAUUACUUUUCUGUUUUGAUUCACUAAUAUGUACAUUUAUGUGGGUAAUUACAAAUGUCAUGAACACAUAAUGUAAAUCGAAACCGCAUGCUCUUCUUCAUUCCCUCUUUUAUCUGAGAAACUGACUUCAUUUCUGACUUAAUAUCUAUUUGUGGGAUCACUACAAGUCCUUUGUAAACAGUGUCUAAGUAGUUUAAAUGUGACUUCACCCCUGCCCCUACACAGGAAAUAUUACAGGCCUUUCAAACAUCUAAACAUUCGUAAAGGCAGAAUAUCACGAUUUAUAAUAAUUAAACACAGGUUAUUUUCACAGUCAACCAACUGUCAGAAAGCAAUGUGGACGUAUUGUGAGUAGUGACUUGUUUAGUAACUGUUAUGGUUGGUUGACAAGUCUAAAUGAAGGGGCAUAUUUCCACUUUCCCCUCUGGAAAGUGUGUUUUCAUGUAACAUUUUUAUUAAAUUCAUAUUUUUAAUACAUAAGAGACCAACAACAAUACUUAAAAAAAAUAGCAGCACCUCGAUACAGUAACUGAAUGAAGUAUGAGAUAAUCUAAAUAUAUUAGCUUAAUCAUGAACCAUUUGCAAGGUAAUUAAGGCAAUUUAAAGCUAUAAACACAUUAUUCAUAAAUACAUGGUAUUGUAUUUUUUGUGUUUUGACCUGUGUCCACGAUGUGUUUACUUUGGGAUUUGGAUGAGAGGCUUCUCUAAAUACAUUUAGUCCCAUGAUAUCUUAUUACGCUAUUCAGAUGCUUAACAGUGGCCAAGUUUACUUUGAAUGUUUCAGUAAGAAAGGGCAAUGGGUAAGAGGGUAAGUCAGGAACAUUUCAUUACAGGAGUUCUGAAGCGUUCAGACAUGGGCCUGUUCAAAUCAGAGCUGGACUUAGAUAAAAGAAUAAAAGGUUAAGCAAAAAUAUAAGAAGGCAUUCGAAGAAACCUGACCUUUACAAAAUCUGGAUUUAAUAACCCCAAGUUGCAGUUGACAAGCAAAUAGUUUCAUCUCAGUUGUAAAUCAGUAUAAUUAAUCUGAUUCACCUCAGUAACUAUGUGAAAAAUAUGGCUUGUGGGAAUGUUGUGUUGUUUCCAAAAUAAGCAAGACUGCAUCUUGGCGCGCUGCCAAAUAGCAGCAUAUCUUCAGCCUGAAACUGGUGCUGGUAGUGUAACAUGGUUUGAAACCACAUUGGUGAAGUUAUAGCGUAUGUAUGGACCCGGAUCUGUUCCUUUCAUACUGGUUAUCCCGGACAUCAUUCAUUCUGUCUAUCAGUGCCCUCUCUAAUGAGCUUAGAUAAACUAUUAUGCUACAUUCACAUGUUCAUAAUAUAUUAUUUAUCUAAACAAAUACAUUUCAUCAACCUCUAACUGUUCAUUCACAAAGUCCUUCAUCCAGACUCCUAUCAGUGCCUUUCUCUAUCAGAAAUGAAAGUUAAUGCAUUACAGUAAUUUCGCUCAUAGUUCACUUUUUUUAUUCUGAUACUGCAGUAUAUGUUUCUUCAGUAGUUUUGUUGUUGUUUCUUUUCCUCGGUAGGCCUGUUUUUAACAUUUUUAGCCACCAGAGGUCGCUGUUUCUGUUAUUUUGUCCUCAAGGCUUUGGUUACAAUACGAGUGUGUCUUGCACCAUUUAAUUAAGUAUACUUGUACUGUUGCAUACUAGACUCUACGAUGUGUAGAAUGAGGUUGUCUCUUAA
rnacentral:lncRNA from 1 species